rnacentral:rRNA from 1 species
UAAGGUGGUUAUUGCGGCGGGGCUCACCUCUUCCCAUCCCGAACAGAGAAGUUAAGCCCGCCAGCGCAGAUGGUACUGCAGUUAUGUGGGAGAGUAUGUCGUCGCCUUCU